UACGGAAGGCAGCAGUGGGGAAUAUUGCACAAUGGGCGAAAGCCUGAUGCAGCUAUGCCGCGUGUAUGAAGAAGGCCUUAGGGUUGUAAAGUACUUUCAUCGGGGAGGAAAAAACAAAACUAAUAAUUUUAUUUCUUGACGUUACCCGAAAAAGAAGCACCGGCUAACUCCGUGCCAGCAGCCGCGGUAAUACGGAGGGUGCUAGCGUUAAUCAGAAUUACUGGGCGUAAAGAGCACGUAGGUUGGUUUUUUAAGUCAGAUGUGAAAUCCCGUGGGCUUAACCUAGGAACUGCAUUUUGAAACUGAAAUACUAGAGUAUCGUAGAGGGAGGUAGAAUUCUAGGUGUAGCGGUGAAAUGCGUAGAUAUCUGGAGGAAUACCUGUGGCGAAAGCGGCCUCCUAAACGAAUACUGACACUGAGGUGCGAAAGCGGUGGGGAGCAAACAGGGAUUAGAUACC
rnacentral:rRNA from 1 species